rnacentral:tRNA from 1 species
GCGGUGGUAGUUUAGUGGUAGAAUGUCUCCUUCCCAAGGAGAAGGUCGGGGGUUCAAAUCCCCUCCACCGCU